rnacentral:ncRNA from 14 species
GCGGGUGUGGCGAAAUUGGCAGACGCACUAGACUUAGGAUCUAGCGCUUUACGGCAUGCAGGUUCAAGUCCUGUCACCCGCA